AAUUUCUCAUGCACCUGUUAAUAAUAAUAAAAUUAAUGAAACUCGCACUUGAGGGUCUAGCUGUUGUGGUCAAUCGUGUGACUUGUUCCGCUCCCGUCCCGGGUUCGACCCUCUAUGUGCACGUCUGUCACCCCCGCGGUGCCUUACCUGCUCCUGGGCUUGUAGGGUGUCCAGUGGACCGUGGGGAAUAGUCGUGGUGCGCGUAAGCUGGCCCGGACACCCCACGUAAAUAAAAUAAAAAAUAAAAAAAUUAAUGAAACUCACAUUGAGAAAGUGAAUAUGUGAAAAAUAUAUCUUUAAAGAUAGUUUCCAUGCACGCCUCGGGUUUGUUUUUCUAUUUUUUAUUUCUGUUCUUCGUCACAUUUUGUCCAACACAGAUAUGUCUCAACCGUCUCCAUCUCUUCUCUUCUAAGUCAAUAACCAAAUGUUAGUCUAUAGCUGGUCCAUAAGUUCCUCUAUUCCUUCGAAGAAAUCUCUGAUGGAUCAAUGGAGUUUCAAGGACUUCACCUCACACUUCUCACGGCCGAACCCUCUCCACAUAACCUGUCUCACAAAGAAGUAAAACAACAGCAGGAUCAUCCACAGCAGGGGAAACAUUGACCUAUAACAAUAGCUUGCCUCAAGCUUUGUUUCUCAAGCCUGGUGAUGAAUCAUGCAGUGACUCAGACAGAUUCACUUAGAUAAACCAAACAUGAUAGAGUGAAUACGUUCUUCAAGAAGCCUGUUACUAUCAAUCAACUAGUUUGAUGGCUCCCGGUGCUGGUCAACUUCAACAAACCUCUUAUGGUCUUAUCGUGAAAAGGCAGCAUAAGAAGCCAAUGAUAGGACAAGUCAGUGAGUGCACGCAUACCUCUGAUCGCUUCGCUCUGAUUACUCAGCUUUGAGCUUUUAGGACUCGACACUUCUACGAUCAAAG
rnacentral:lncRNA from 1 species